UAGGCUGAUAGUAAAGUUCCUGAUGCUCAAUCUGCUCAUGAAAAAACUAUGUCUACUCUGUUAACUGCAUUGGCAGGUGCCAAUAUUAUCUACGGAGUUG
rfam:Desulfitibacter sp. BRH_c19 BRHa_1000399, whole genome shotgun sequence.